CCUAGACCCCCGAACUUGUCACCCUCUCCCUUUUCUCUCCAAAACCAAAACACAAGACAAAGACAAAACCAAAAACAAAGUCCCAUCUCUCUCUCUAAGGAAUCAGAAACUUGUUAUAAAGCAAACGAAGAAAACAUCUAAACCUUAAAAUAAAAACACAUCAAACCUUAUCAGAAGCGAUGAAUCCUCAACAGCAACAACAAAAUCCAGUAGAUCCAGACCACCCACAACUCCCAACAAUCAAGAUCCACCACCCUUCUUCCCCACGCCACUCUCACCACCACUCCCACCUACACGCCGCCACUCCCACCGCUGGUGCCCGCCGCAAGAUCGGCGUCGCGGUUGACCUCUCCGAUGAAUCUGCCUACGCUGUCAGCUGGGCUGUCGACCACUACAUCCGUCCCGGGGAUGCUGUCAUUCUCCUCCACGUCAGCCCUACAUCCGUUCUCUUCGGUGCUGACUGGGGCCCGCUCCCACUCUCCACUCCAACGCAAUCGCAACUCGAUCUUUUGAACAAUACUAGCAAAUUUAAUAAUGAAAUUGACAGUAAAAAUGAGAGUAGUGAGAAGCCGCAGCAACAGAACGAGGACGAUGAGGAUGCUUUCACUGCGUCGAAAGCGGCCGAUCUUGCAAGGCCUUUAAAGGAAGCGCAGAUCCCGUAUAAGAUUCAUAUUGUGAAAGAUCAUGAUAUGAAGGAGAGGCUGUGUCUUGAAGUUGAGAGGUUAGGGUUGAGUGCGGUUAUUAUGGGGAGUAGAGGGUUUGGUGCGGAGAAAAGAGGGAGUGAUGAGAGAUUGGGUAGUGUAAGUGAUUAUUGUGUUCAUCACUGUGUAUGUCCAGUCGUGGUUGUUAGAUAUCCUGAGGAUAAGGAUGGCGGUGUGGCUGACCUGGAGGCGGUUGUUAAUGUGCCAGAGGAUGUGGAGGCUGCAGAGGGAAAACCUAAAGAGAAAAUAAAUAGCAGCAAGGUAUUGAUGGCAAUUGAUAAGGCUUAUCAAUGACAAUCAAGCACCGAAGUCCAUGUAUAAUGCUUGGUGAGAUGCCUAGUUUGAACUACCUUAUUGCGACUAGUUCAUCUACAUAGCAGAUAUAAUGGAGGUGAAGAAGCCGAGGAGUUAAUAAGAUGAUCUUGUUUGGGUCUUUACUGUUUUCCAAUAGACAGAUUGUAGAAGAAUGCUCUAAUCUCCCGUGUGACUCUUGUCCAAUGUUUCUCACAUUUGAAACUUGGGAGGAUUUGUAAUAUUUGUACGGCUGAUCAUUGAUGUGAGGUUUCUGGAUAUUCAUGUAGGCUUUUGGAAAUGUGUUUCAAUGGAUUGUAAUGUACAUCAUUUUGGUGUUGAAGAUUGCUUCUCCUUA